GGUGAAAAGCACCCCGGAAGGGGAGUGAAAUAGAACCUGAAACCGUGUGCUUACAAGUAGUCAGAGCCCGUUAAUGGGUGAUGGCGUGCCUUUUGUAGAAUGAACCGGCGAGUUACGAUUUGAUGCAAGGUUAAGCAGUAAAUGUGGAGCCGUAGCGAAAGCGAGUCUGAAUAGGGCGUUUAGUAUUUGGUCGUAGACCCGAAACCAGGUGAUCUACCCUUGGUCAGGUUGAAGUUCAGGUAACACUGAAUGGAGGACCGAACCGACUUACGUUGAAAAGUGAGCGGAUGAACUGAGGGUAGCGGAGAAAUUCCAAUCGAACCUGGAGAUAGCUGGUUCUCUCCGAAAUAGCUUUAGGGCUAGCCUCAAGUGAUGAUUAUUGGAGGUAGAGCACUGUUUGGACGAGGGGCCCCUCUCGGGUUACCGAAUUCAGACAAACUCCGAAUGCCAAUUAAUUUAACUUGGGAGUCAGAACAUGGGUGAUAAGGUCCGUGUUCGAAAGGGAAACAGCCCAGACCACCAGCUAAGGUCCCAAAAUAUAUGUUAAGUGGAAAAGGAUGUGGCGUUGCCCAGACAACUAGGAUGUUGGCUUAGAAGCAGCCAUCAUUUAAAGAGUGCGUAAUAGCUCACUAGUCGAGUGACACUGCGCCGAAAAUGUACCGGGGCUAAACAUAUUACCGAAGCUGUGGAUUGUCCUUUGGACAAUGGUAGGAGAGCGUUCUAAGGGCGUUGAAGCAUGAUCGUAAGGACAUGUGGAGCGCU
rnacentral:rRNA from 1 species